rnacentral:rRNA from 1 species
UUUCCUACGGGGGGCAGCAGUGAGGAAUAUUGGUCAAUGGGCGCGAGCCUGAACCAGCCAAGUAGCGUGAAGGAUGACUGCCCUAUGGGUUGUAAACUUCUUUUAUAUGGGAAUAAAGUUUUCCACGUGUGGAAUCUUGUAUGUACCAUAUGAAUAAGGAUCGGCUAACUCCGUGCUAGCAGCCGCGGUAAUACGGAGGAUCCGAGCGUUAUCCGGAUUUAUUGGGUUUAAAGGGAGCGUAGAUGGGUUGUUAAGUCAGUUGUGAAAGUUUGCGGCUCAACCGUAAAAUUGCAGUUGAUACUGGU